rnacentral:rRNA from 1 species
GGAUUAUGUGGUUUAAUUCGAUGAUACGCGAGGAACCUUACCAAGACUUAAAUGGGAAUUGACAGAUUUAGAAAUAGAUCCUCCUUCGGGCAAUUUUCAAGGUGCUGCAUGGUUGUCGUCAGCUCGUGCCGUGAGGUGUUAGGUUAAGUCCUGCAACGAGCGCAACCCCUGUCACUAGUUGCCAUCAUUCAGUUGGGGACUCUAGUGAGACUGCCUACGCAAGUAGAGAGGAAGGUGGGGAUGACGUCAAAUCAUCACGGCCCUUACGUCUUGGGCCACACACGUAAUACAAUGGCCGGUACAGAGGGCAGCUACACAGCGAUGUGAUGCAAAUCUCGAAAGCCGGUCUCAGUUCGGAUUGGAGUCUGCAACUCGACUCUAUGAAGCUGGAAUCGCUAGUAAUCGCGCAUCAGCCAUGGCGCGGUGAAUACGUUCCCGGGCCUUGUACACACCGCCCGUCAAGCCAUGGAAGUCUGGGGUACCUGAAGUCGGUGACCGUAACAGGAGCUGCCUAGGGUAAAACAGGUAACUAGGGCUAAGUCGUAACAA